rnacentral:rRNA from 1 species
GACGAACGCUGGCGGCGUGCUUAACACAUGCAAGUCGAACGCUGAAGCUCAGCUUUUGUUGGGUGGAUGAGUGGCGAACGGGUGAGUAACACGUGAGUAACCUGCCCCCUUCUUUGGGAUAACGCCCGGAAACGGGUGCUAAUACUGGAUAUUCACUGGUCUUCGCAUGGGGGUUGGUGGAAAGGGUUUUUCUGGUGGGGGAUGGGCUCGCGGCCUAUCAGCUUGUUGGUGGGGUGAUGGCCUACCAAGGCUUUGACGGGUAGCCGGCCUGAGAGGGUGACCGGUCACAUUGGGACUGAGAUACGGCCCAGACUCCUACGGGAGGCGGCAGUGGGGAAUAUUGCACAAUGGGCGCAAGCCUGAUGCAGCGACGCCGCGUGAGGGAUGGAGGCCUUCGGGUUGUGAACCUCUUUCGCUCAUGGUCAAGCCGCAACAAUGGUUGUGGUGAGGGCAGUGGGUAAAGAAGCGCCGGCUAACUACGUG